rnacentral:tRNA from 1 species
UGCAUCGGCUGGGAAUCGAACCCGGUCCGCCCGCGUGGCAGGCGAGCAUUCUACCACUGAACCACCUAUGC